rnacentral:rRNA from 1 species
GACGAACGCUGGCGGCGUGCUUAACACAUGCAAGUCGAACGGGACUGCCCUAUUUUGGGUGGGUUGAGCGGACAAAGGGAGAGUAUCACGUCAAUAACGUGCCCCCUGCUCCUGCAUACCGCCCUGAAAGGGGUGAUAAUACGGGGUGUGCUGGUCCUGCAGCACGUUGGUGCCGGUACAGGUUCCUCUUUUUUUUGGGGGUCUGGAUGGUGCUGGGCUCGCGGCCUAUCAGCUUGUAGGUGGGGUGAUGGCCUAUCAAGGCGGGGACGGGCAGCCGGCCGGGGGGGGUGGACGGCCACACUGGGACGGAGACACGGCCCAGACUCCUGCGGGAGGCAGCAGUGGGGGGUAUUGCGCAAUGGGCGGAAGCCUGACGCAGCGACGCCGCGUGAGGGACGGAGGCCUUCGGGUUGUGAACCUCUUUCGCCGGUGGAGAAGGCGCCCCCGUGUGGGGUGCUGACUGUAGCCGGGUUAAGAAGCGCCGGCUAACUACGUG